AUUGAACGCUGGCGGAAUGCCUAACACAUGCAAGUCGAGCGGAGGUAGCAAUACCUCAGCGGCGGACGGGUGAGGAAUACAUAGGAAUCUGCCUUUAGGUGGGGGAUAGCUAGGGGGAAACUCUGGGUAAUACCGCAUGAUCUCGCAAGAGCAAAGGGGCGCAAGUCUCGCCUUUAGAGGAGCCUAUGUCUGAUUAGCUAGUUGGCGGUGUAAUGGACCACCAAGGCAAUGAUCAGUAACUGGUCUGAGAGGACGAUCAGUCACACCGGAACUGAGACACGGUCCGGACUCCUACGGGAGGCAGCAGUGGGAAUAUUGGACAAUGGGCGAAAGCCUGAUCCAGCAAUUCCGCGUGUGUGAAGAAGGCCUUCGGGUUGUAAAGCACUUUAGUGGGGAAGAAGCAGCUUGGCCACACCAAGCCUUGACGGUACCCCAAGAA
rnacentral:rRNA from 1 species